rnacentral:rRNA from 1 species
AUAAAGCGGAGGUAUUCGGGGAGACAGGUGGUGCAUGGUUGUCGUCAGCUCGUGUCGUGAGAUGUUGGGUUAAGUCCCGCAACGAGCGCAACCCCUAUUGCUAGUUACCAUCAUUAAGUUGGGGACUCUAGCGAGACUGCCAGUGAUAAACUGGAGGAAGGUGGGGGAUGACGUCAAAUCAUCAUGCCCCUUAUGACCUGGGCUACAAACGUGAUACAAUGGCUGGAACAAAGGGAUGCGAAGCAGUGAUGUGGAGCGAAACCCAUAAAAACAGUCUCAGUUCGGAUUGAAGUCUGCAACUCGACUUCAUGAAGUCGGAAUCGCUAGUAAUCGCGGAUCAGAACGCCGCGGUGAAUACGUUCUCGGGGUUU